UGGGGUGUGGCUCAGACAUAGAGCGCUUGCCUAGCAUGCAUGAAGCACUGGGUUCUAUCCUCAGCACCACAU
rnacentral:tRNA from 1 species